CUAAAUAUAGCCCAUCACGGUGCUGUCGAGUCGUUCGGGUCGAGAGCUUAAGAGGGAAGCCGGUGUGAGGCCGGCGCUGCCCCCGCAACUGUAAGCAGCGAGCUUGUGUCGCGUAUUGCCACUGGUGCUCCUAGAGCGCUGGGAAGGCCUGACAGAAGCGAUGACCUGCAAGCCAGGAGACCUGCCGUGAUGAGCAUUGAACG
rnacentral:ncRNA from 2 species